UACAGCCUGGUUACAGCCAGAUUACAGCCUGAUUACAGCCUGAUUACAGCCUGAUUACAGCCUGGUUACUGUCAGGUUACAGCCAGGUUACUGUCAGGUUACUGUCAGGUUACUGUCAGGUCACAGCCAGGUAACAGUCAGGUCACAGCCUGGUUACUGUCAGGUUACAGCCUGGUUACAGCCAGGUUACAGCCUGGUUACAGUCAGGUUACAGCCAGGUUAC